CUACUUGGAGAUGAAUUUUCGUAAAAACGACAGAUACUCGAACUCGGUGAAUCGUGUCUCAGCAACUAUGAAGCUUCGUGUCGAACAAUAAAGAGCAUUUGCGUCGUCGUAAUGCACGGCACACAUAUGUACGUACACUAUAACGUUUUGAUGAAGAUCAAUGUACCAGAGGUGACUUAUGUGUGAGUCCGAGAAAUAUGAAUGCGUUAAAGAUUCAAAACAGGAAGAUUUGAGCAGCAUCGCGUACGUUUCAAGAAGUAGGUAAGCGCGCGAAAUGAUAGGUGUUGCUUUUCGGUCGAAUGUCGUUUGACGAAAAUGCGUCGAAAAUUGAAAUCCAUGAGCAACUUUUGAACUUUCGAGCUUUCGCAAUUCGGCGGUAAUUUUAUCUUCGAUGAUUAUUGAUAAUUCUUGAUCCGUGU